AGUAACACGUGAGUGACCUGCCUUUUAGACUGGAACAACUUACCGAAAGGUGAGCUAAUGCCGGAUGAGUUAUAUAAGUGCAUGUUUAUAUAGGAAAAGUUGGGGAGACCUGACGCUGAAAGAUGGACUCGCGUCCCAUUAGCUAGUUGGUAGGGUAAUGGCCUACCAAGGCGACGAUGGGUAGCCGGCCUGAGAGGGUGGCCGGCCACACUGGGACUGAGACACUGCCCAGACUCCUACGGGAGGCAGCAG
rnacentral:rRNA from 1 species